rnacentral:rRNA from 1 species
UACGUAGGGGCAAGCGUUGUCCCGGAUUUAUUGGGCGUAAAGAGCGUGUAGGCGGCUUGGUAGGUCCGCUGUGAAACUCGAGGCUCAACCUCGAGAUGUCGGCGGAAACCACUUGGCUAGAGUCCGGAAGAGGAGAGUGGAAUUCCUGGUGUAGCGGUGAAAUGCGCAGAUAUCAGGAAGAACACCUAUGGCGAAGGCAGCUCUCUGGACGAUACUGACGCUGAGACGCGAAGCGUGGAGCGAACAGG